rnacentral:lncRNA from 1 species
CACCUUGGUGGCCCGGACACAAUCACUGCAUACUCGAUUGAAGAUAACGAGUUGUGGUUAAGGCAUUUACUUGGUCUUGUAGUCCAAGUCGGAGUGGCUUUUUAUGUCUUCUCAAAGUCUUGGCCUAGCGGUAUUCUCGCAUUCAUAGCGAUCCCAAUGUUCAUUGUUGGCAUUGUAAAAUACGCAGAGAGGACUUGGGUGCUCUGGUCUUCAUGCUCCAAGAGUCUGAAAAACUCUUCUAUCUACGAUUUUUCGGGUUCUUAUAAUCGUUCAAGAAUAUCAAAAACUCCUCCACAAGACCUCCAGGAAAAUUGUCUUCUUCAAGCUUAUGUUUUUUCUUAUAUAUCCAAGUUAGUGAUGCAGGAUCUUGUCCCUGACAUUCCUUCACUAAUAAGAAGCAGGGAGCUGAUUUCAAAAAAUGAAGCAGACGGUGCCUUCAAGGUGGUAGAGGUUGAGCUUGGAUUGAUAUAUGAUAUGCUUUACACUAAAGCGCCUCUGAUUUACUCCCGUGCCGGAAUCAUUCUUCGCUGUAUCAGCUCUCUGCUCUCUGUUACUGCGUUUAUUACCUUCCAGGUCAUGAUAGACAAGCAUGACUACUCAACGGCCGACAUUGCAGUGACGUAUUUAUUGUUUGCGGCCGCAGUUUUUCUCGAGUUCUAUGCUUUUUUAUGCCUUGUUUUGUCUGACUGGACAAUGAUUUGGUUGAUUGAUAAAGGAGGGAACGGCCUGACUAGUGCAACUUAUUCUCAGCUAAGGAAGUUAACUAGAAGCGAGAGGUGGUCGAGAUCCAUAUCACAGUAUAACCUGAUAAGCUCUUCCUUUGAAAGCGAGCCACCUAAAUGCUUGGAAUUGCUGGGAAUCGAUGAAAUGAUGAGGCAAAUGCAUGUGAAUCGGAAAGAUUUGAAUGUUGGACUACAAGGUCUUAUUUUCGGACAUCUUCUAAAGAAAGCUGAGAAGAUUAAGGAGGAUUUGAAUGUCUGUGAUAAAAAUGUCAGAAGUAAAAUAAUUGGUCAGAGGGGAGAUGGUGUGCUAGAAAGAGAGGGAGUGUUACGGGACUUCAAGUGGUGCACGACUGAAGUAGAAUUCAGUCGGAGCAUUCUUGUCUGGCAUCUCGCAACAGAGAUUUGUUAUCGUGCUGAUAAAGAUGAAAGCAAUGUCUCCAAAGAAUAUGAAACAAGCAGAUCCCUAUCUGAAUACAUGAUGUAUCUUUUGGUGAUGAGACCAAAUAUGCUCUCUAAAGGAUUCGGUGAUGAGGGAUAUCUAGAAACCUUGCGAGAAUUGCGGGGUCUAAAAGAUCGUGGUCCUGGUGAUGAGGGAUAUCAGCGUAUCUUGCGAGAAUUGCGCAACAGUGAAUCACCAGGAUGGAAUCGUUAUGAUGAUGGAUUGUUUCAACGUUACUGGAAAACAGAAAAGCCAGUGACACGUGGUGUAUAUGUGCUCGCCAGGCAAUUGCUUUUAUUGGAAUCCAAGAAGCGAUGGGAGACGAUAAAUGAAGUUUGGGUAGAAAUGGUUGCAUAUGCAGCAGCUCAGUGUCCAUGGAAAGAACAUACUCAACAACUGAGAAGAGGUGGAGAGUUACUCACUCAUGUCUCCCUUCUCAUGCUACAUCUUGGCUUGAGCGAACAGUACGAAUAUAAAAGAUUAGGCGAGCUCAUUUCUUAUUUGAAAGAGGUAAGUAUACCAAAAAUCCUUCUCAAGUACCUCGAUAGAUAGAUAAUGCAUUUUUUUAGGCGUCAGAAUAAAAUAACAAAUCAGAUUAUUUCAAUUUAUAUAUGUUUGUUUAAUUCAUUAUUUUGGAAAUUCCAUUUGAAUGUUUUCAUUUCUUUUUCUUCAUUUUAUUAAUAAAGUGAUUUUAAUUGGAUGUCAUUUAAUUUAAAACGGUUGGAUGAUGGUUAAUAUUAGAUAUUUGCUUUUGUUGAUGCCUUUGUGUUUAAGAAAAAUUUGAAAUAAAUGAUUAAUAUUAGAUAUUUGCUUUUAUUAACUGAUAACUACUCCAAUUUCUAACAAUAAAUUGAUUGAUUUUUCGCCGUAAUCUUCAACAAAAACAAAAAGGAGGAGAAAGAAGAAUAUUUCAACGCUAGAGACAAAUAUAUGGAAGGUGCAGCCAUGUCAGGGUCGAAUCUUGGUGAGGUAUGUUCCACUUUCAUCUCAAUACUUUAAAACCUUCCAAUUUACCCUAUAGUUUUUUUAAAUAGUUUCCAUUUUUUUUGUUUUUUUAAAUAACUAUCAAAACUUUCAAUUUUCCUUACAUUUCUCUUUUACUACCUCUCAUAUACCCACUCUCAUAUACCCAUAGAUGUUAUUAUUUGCAUAAAAACACUUAAAAACAUUUCCAAAAAAACAUAUAUUCAAAAACCAAUUUUAAACAGUAAGCUUUUUAACGAUUAGGGUAACAUUGGUAAUUUUAAAAACUAGAGGGAUAAUAUUAAAAACGUUUAAGCUAUAUGAGUAUAAGCAUAACAUUAAUUAAUCUAUAGAUACAAAAAUAAAAUUUACCAGAUAAUAUUUUGUAUAUCAUAUAUGUUAUUCAAUAUAUUCAUUACAGGCACCGUGCUUGCAGAUGACAAUAAAUUACCAUCGAAUCUAAUUUUAGUUUUCCAUACUUAUCUUUAUUGGAUAAAGAUUUUUACAGAUUUGAAUAAUCAAACCUUAAAUAUCAUCAAGAUUAUAGAUCUAAAGAUGAAAUUAAAAUUUAAUAAAAAGACGAGGGAUCAAAAUUAAAAAUCAAAACAUUGAUGGUCAAAACUUAAAUAUCAUUAAAUAUCGAAUUGAAGGUCAUAAUUAAAAGGAAAAAUUAAAUUCAUAAAAGAAUUAAAAAAAUAAAAGAAUACCAAUUUCAAAUGAACUUAAUGAUGAUGGAUGAGAUUUUGUUUUUAAAUGUCUGAAGCCAACCGGGUCCAACUAUAAAAACUAGUGACAUGGAUCAUGAGGCCGUAUCACAACAUAAAAGGCAAAUUAAAAAAAAUAACAAUGCAAAAUCCCCAACCAACCAAAAUAAUUAGAGAUAAACUUGAAAAAACAAAUUAAAAAAAGAAGUGGUUUAAAAAAUAUUGAUUUGAAAAAAAAGAGAACUAAAUUUGACACAAAAAGAAAAUAAAAGCAAAUUAUAAGGGAUGAAAUUGAAAAACAAUUUCAAUAAAAAAAUGAUAAGAACAACUAAAAAUAACAAUCAAAAUAGUAGGGACUAUAUUUGAUACAAAAAUAAAAUGUCAAGGGAUGCAAUUCAAAGACAAAUUAAUUCAAUCAAGGAUUCAAGAUCAAACACACCAUAAUUAAAAGAAAUACCAAAUCCAAUACAAAAAAUCAAGUAUAAAGGGAUGAAAUAAAAAAAAAAUAACUCAAUAAAUGAUUCAAGACCAAAUACAUUGCAAUUAAAAGAAUGAUAACCAAAUCUUAUAUAAAAAUAAAGUGUCAAGGAAUAAAAUUAAAAAAAAAUUUGCUCAAUAAAUAGUUAAAGAUCAAAUACAUUGUAAUCAAAAGAAUGAAAACAUAAUUUAACUUAACAAAUAAAUAGCCAUACUUUUUUCUUCUUUUAUUUUUGCAAUGGUUAGCAUGGUUUUGUAGGAGGAGAGAGAAGAGAGGGAGGGAGGGAAAAACUCACGGCCGGUGCUCCUCCGCAUCACGGCCACGAACACGCACCUCACUUACAUGAUGGGGAUGAUAAGGUGCAUCGAACACCUCCCUGAAAAGCAGAAUUGAGUGCAAUUUGGGCGCCACAUGCACCUCUCAAAGAGUGUCGGCAGCGCCCACUUGUUAGCUCGUCUGAAGCAUACAUAAACUACCUCUAAAUUUAAAUAAUAAUUUAUGCAUGUUAAAAUACUCAAACACCCUUGACUCUACUUAAGAAUUACAACAAAACCAUAUCAAAAAAGAUAAAAAGAUAAAAACACCCUCACUAAUUUUUUUUAAUUUUUUCAAAGUCAUAUGGUUAUGUUGUAAUUUUACUGUUAAAAAAAUAAAAAAUAAAAGACUGAGAAGCCCCUCUGCCAAUGUUAUAGGAUAUGAAUGUAAACACAUUGUUUUUGUUUUGCAAAAGACAAAAGAGCUCUUUUUCCGAAGCAUAAUUUUUCUUGUUUUUAAAUGCAUAUCAGUUAUGACACUGCAGCAAAACAAACAUGUCCGGAUCAUUUCGUCCUUAAUAAAUUUUAUAAUGAUUCCUCUAAUUACAAUUACAAGUAUAACCAUUUUUUUAAUAAAGGUAAAAGAGUAAAAACAAUGUGUCUUGAAGCAUAAUGAAUCACUGGUAUCUUUUUAGUAUUUUUUUGUAAUAUUAUCCUACGAGAUUUUCUCCCUUUUUAUUUCAAAUGAAAGGACAAAUUGAAGACUAGUCAAUUUUCCAUGCUUUAUACUUUGCCACUCUUUCUCUUCCGCUAAAUUCAAUGUCCAAGGUCUUUAAUAGUCUGUCGACUAACUAAUAAUCUGAAUAUUAUAAGCUAUUUUUUAUGCCAUAAGAUUCACGUUGUGCUGUUUUAUUUUUAGAAAUACCUUACGCACAUUUUCUUUAUCCAGUGUUGCAUCAGUUUUUACACCGCACAUUCUUUUAUUUAAACCUUGUUUAUUUUUAUAUUUUAAAAGUAUUUUAAAAAAAAUAAAAAAAUUUUAUUUCAAAUAUUUUUAGAUUAUUUUGAUAUGCUGAUGUUAAAAAUAAUUUUUAAAAAAUAAAAAAAAUAUUAUUUUAAUAUAUUUUUCAAUAAAAAAAUAUUUUAAAAAAUAAUUAUUAUAACAUUUUCAAACACCACUAACAAGGUUGCAUUUAAUUUGCUUACUUCGAAGUUCGAACAUCAUGCAUGCAUAUAAAACAAGAUUGUAAGUGGCAAGUUUUAAUCAAUUAAUAUCAGGAACCUCUAUAUUUAUUGAAACGAAAAAUUAAAUUGAAAUUCAUGAGACUCCUGAUUUCUAUUUUUAAAUAAGAAUAAUUUGCAUUGAUGAAUCAAAAAAUUAUUAAUUACUCAUGUCGAGUUAACAAUUUUGCUAUUUUGAAGGAGUUGGAAGAACUUAAAAAGAUUGUAGCAGAUACAAAGCGAGAGCUUGAGCAACUGAGAUCUUCUUUAACUGCAUCAACUCCACAACAAGGAAUUGAUUCAUUUCCAAGGAGUUUGCCAGCACAAACUGAUGGUCAAGGGAUUGGUCAACCACCAUCAAAUAAUGAUAUCAGUUUAAGCAUGGAAUAAAAAGUAGUAGCUUUUAUUAUGCUUUGUCCAUAAUUAUUUAAGUGAAUAAACUUAAAUAAGUUCCUACUAGUAACAGUACUAUUGGGCUUCAUUUUGCAUGCAUGUAUUGAAAAAAUUACGAAGUUUCUAUGAGUUCACAAAAUUAUGAUAUUUAAUAUAUCAAUUUAAGAACAUGUAAACAACGAUCAAUUUGUUCUUAAGUACUGGUUGCUGGCAUGAGUCGUCAACAGAGGAUUUUUUGAGAGAUUAUAGGAUUUUUUUGGAGAAUAGAGAAUGCAGUUGUGAAGGGAUGACUAUUAAUUCAAUGGAUGCAAAGUAACUGCAUCAUAUUUUCAACGGCGAAAGCCGAAUGGGAUGCUAUCGCUGCAAUAUAUUUUGAUGGCGCUGACAUCUCACAAGCUUAUGAUCUAAAAAAGAACAUAAUGAGACUUAAAACAAGUUUGGAGGAUAAACAUACUACAACAAUUUUCAAUGUCUAUGGAGAGAAAUUGAUUUUUGCCGCCGAAAUCCAAUGAAAUGUGAGGUUGAUUUACAAAGAUAUAAUUCUAUUUUACAGUAGUAUAGAGUUUACACAUUCUUAGAUGAACUAGAUAAUCCUCUUGACAAAAUUAAUACAGUGACAUAUCUAUGUACAGGGGUAAAAGAAUGACACUUUCACCCUGUUUUUCACUGUACAACACUUUAUUAGUUCUAUCUCUUUAAAAUAAAUUAUUAUCUAUAGGCCUAGCUCUGAGAAAUUGAUGUGCCUGUAUGUUUCAUAAUAUUUUCAAAUAAAGUGUUUUUAUUAUUAUUAACAUGGGUAUCUAGCUAGCUUCCGCGCACCUCGACUAAUCUCACGGGCCCUAAAGUUAACGACCAUGUAAACCUCCAGUGACCCUGAGAUUUGUGGGAUUCGAAUUAGUGAUCUCUGGAGAACAAACUCAAGAUCUGACCAAUUAAGCUACACCCUUCAGAGUUAAAUAAAGUGCUCUUUUCUUUUUAGAUUAACGUGACUGUCCGGGUUAGCUUGCACGCACCUCGACUAAUCCCACAGGUCUUAAAGUUAACGAUCGUAUAAACUUCUAAUAGCUCUAAAAUUUAUUGUUUUCUAUAUAAUUUAUUGUUUUCUAUAUAUAUAUAUAUAUAUAUAUAUAUAUAUAAAGAAAAAGAAAUAUUGUGAUUAAUUCUUGUUAGGUGCUUAAGGAAAAAGGAACAUCAUAUUCCCAGAAAUGAAGUCAAAAGAUAUGACUCAUUACUGCACUGAUGUUCAGUGUUCCAACCUUAAAACAGAAAGCAAACUCUGUCUAUGAAGAAAAGAAAAUGCAAUUAAUUUAAAGUUUCUUCAUCCUUGUAAACUGCUUUCUAUAGUGCCAGGGAAGGAGUGGAAUACUCACCAGCAAAAAACAAAAUAAUAAUAAUAAUAAUAAUAAUAAUAAAAAGUGGAAGAGAAGAGAAGGGAAUGGCUAGUAAUUAAUUAUUUGCCAGCAGAGAUGGCUUGCGUAGACACUAGAUAGAGGAGGUAAAACACAGACCAGAAAUGAGCGACGAGCCGGCUGGCUGGGGCGGCUAUCCUUUUGGUUUGGUGCACGGUUUGGAAGAAAAACUGGUAUUUAUAUUUUUUUUAAGAGCUGGUUCAACCAGUUUGGUCUGGCUCAUUAGGUUUUAGAAUUUUAAAACCAAAACCAAACAGUAUUGGAUUUUUUUAGUUUUUUAAUUGAUUAAUUCGGUUUUUUUUCAGUUUCAUUUUUUAAUUAAAUUUUUUUAAUUUUCUCAAUUUAAUAAAUUUUUUAGUUUUAAUUCUCACCCCUAUCACUGGCGGCAAUGCUAAGUAAUCAUUAGUAUUGGAUGAAUUUUUAUAUAAAAAAAUCAUUUUACUAAGUGUCCAAAGUGUUUUUAGAUUUUUUUAUUUUAAAUUAAUAUUUUUUUAAUAUUUUUAAAUUAUUUUGUGGUGCUAUAUCAAAAAUAAAUUUUAAAAAAUAAAAAUUUUUAUUUCAAUAUAUUUUUAAAUAAAAAUAAUUUAAAAAUUAAUUAUUAUUAUUAUAAUCCAAAACAUGCUAUAAAUUGUUUACCGACUACUUUCACUGGCAGUAUUUUUGGGUAAGGUAUCAACAAAUAAAAAUGAUCGUAGAACAUGUCAUAUCAAGGGAAAAAAAAGAAAAGAAAAGAAAAGAAAAGGCUAUGCAUUAAAUUAUUACCUUCCUUCCUUCCUUCCUUUCUUCUUCUUCUCUUUUGUUUUUUAAUAUAAAACGACAAAUAGAUUAAACUAAGCAAAAGAAGGUGGCUUAUUAUGAUUAAAUAUUUUUUUAAAAGUAUUUUUUUAUUUAAAAAUAUAUUAAAAUAAUUUUUAAGAUUUUUUUAUGUUUGAUAUUAACAUAUCAAAAUAAUUAGAAAACAUUAAAAAAUCAUCAAUUUAAUAUUUUUUUAAACCAAAUAAACUCAAAUGCAAUUACAAAUACAAAAACAAACAUUAACUAAGACAAUGGCUAGAGAACAAACAAAACAAAGAGUAGUAAAAAAAGGAAAAUUAGAUGGAUUCAUGUGGUUUGGUAUUUUUUUUACAUUAUUUCUAUUAUUUUAUAUUUUAGGUUAGUUUUUUAGUCUAUUUAAAGGCAUUGUAAACCUUAGAAGAUUUUAUGAUGCUCAAGCUAUAACUAGUGGUAUUUUAUUAGUCACUCUAUGAGUUUUACUUUGAAAAAAAAGACAUAUACAAAAAGAAGAGAGAAAAUAAAAUUCAUGUCCCACCAAAAAUAAUAAGAACACCUAUAUAUAGGAUUUCUCUCUCUUAUUUUAUCUAUUUCUAUUUAAUAAUAGGUUUCAAAGAGUAACUCAUAGAAUAUCAGUAGUUAUAGAUUAAACACCAUAAAAUUUCUCAUAAGCCUCCUAGAGAGGCAAAAUUUGUUAGAUUAAUAUUUUAAAAAUAAAAAUAAAAUUUUAAGGUUCUUUUUGUUUUAACCCCAUUUCAUCAUAUUCAAGAUGAUUUUUUUCAAUAUUAAAAUGAUGACAUAUUUGAUCAACUGUGGCUUUGCGACUUAACCUGUCAAAUUCAUGGUUUGAGUUAAGAAAUCUACUAAGUCUAAGAACUUUGUUAUUUAAAACUACUUUUUACUUAAUUAUAUGAUAAUAAAAAUAAAUAAAUAAAAAUUAUAAAAUUAAGCACCAAUCAAAUAUCGUGAUGUUUGUUUGGGAUCAUGAUAAUAUGAUAUAAAGCAAACCAAAAGAAAUUAAAAAAGGCUUGUGUGUGGGCCUAUAAAAGUAGGCUUGUACAUGAUUAGUACUUAAAAGUGCAUUCUCAUUAAGGCUUUAUAUCAUUAUAUUGCACUUAAAGUAUCAUUAAAUUCCUUAUCUUAAGCAUGUUUUAUAAUAACAAGUCUGAUAAUAUAAGAUAGCUUUAAUUUAUGGUAAAUGUUCAUUUUAAAUACAGGCAUAUCUCACAAUUCAAAAGAUUGAUCGAUGUGAUUAACUAUUAAAAGUGAAAGGACAAAGAAAGGGCUAAGCAUAGAAAAGAAAUGUUGGUUCAAUUCAAAUUGGAAUAUCAUUCAGUCAUUGGGUCAUAUUUGGAGCUGUAGAUCUUGGCUUUCAGUUUGGUUUAUAUGGAUAGAAAGCUAAGAUAUAGGCCUAAAAUAUUUAUGAGAGUCCAAGACUCAAUUUGCCAUUUUGGAGUCCAAAUCUUAGCAUCAAAAGAGAAGUCUGAAUCUGUCCUGCAACCUAGACAUUGUUCAGUGUUCAGUCCAUAUCUCGAGUUCUAGAAGCUCAAAUGCGCUCAUUAUUCUUUUGGUGGAAAGAUGAGACAAAUUGCUACAACUUUAUUAAAGAUCACUUUAUCAAAUUCUGAUGUUAGCAAUGACAUUUCAUCCAGACAAGAGCUUGAGGGCUAUUCACCACGUCCACCAGAAGUACUACUCAGUAUUUUAGUCAUAUCUCGAUCUAUAGUGAUCCAAAUAACGUCAAAUUUAGCGGGUGGAAAGAUAAGACAAUUUAAAACAACUUUCAUGAAGAACACUUUGCUAAAUUCUGAUUGCAUCAAUGUCAUUUCAUCCAAUCCAAAUGCUUGAGUGCUGCUGUUCACUAAGUCCACUAAAUCAAUAGUUAGUCACUAUAUCAAUAAUCAAUUACCAAAUGAAUAGUUCUUUUAGCCUAUAAAAGAAGGCAUUUGCCAUUCAUUUAGACAUCUUGAUUUUCAGAUUAAGAUCAUUUUCUUGCUUUCUCUUUUUGUAAUGUUCAAGUUUUCUUUCAAGUUAUAUUAAUCUCUUGUUUAUACUUUUCAUUUCUUUUACUACUCUUAGUUAACUUAUAUCAUAAUUAUAUUCUUAUCUUGUUUAUUUAUGUUCUUCUCAUUCAUUAUGUCUAGCUAAGUUAAUUAUGUCAGGGUGAAGUUAGAAUAAGCAUAAUAUAAACUCAACACGGACUUCAAUGCUUAUAUCCAAGAAAGUUUGUUAUUAAUAUGUCUUAUCUUUUUAUCUUACUAAUUCUUAAUACCUUGCUUAUUAAAUGAUUAAUCUAGAUUUGUGUUAUAUAAUACUUGGUACAUCAAAUGUUUGAUCCUUCAUAGUCUUCGGCCGACAUCGUUGUUAUAAGAGGAACUUGAUUUGUUGUUAACAUAAGUUAGCAACAUGAAUGUCUGUUGAUAUUUAUAAGUAUGGUGUUACAAAAAUAAGAUAAUUAAUAUGAUCAUGUUAAUAAUUUAUAAUGAGUUUAUACUUUACUUAUUUCUAAUACCAUAAGUGGAUCUUCUAACCUUGACAUCUGUUUUUAUCAUUGUUUAAUCCUCACAUUAAUCUUACAUUUUAAAGAUCUCUUUAAUUUUUAAAUAAAAUAUAUAUAUUAUUUAUAUAGUUGAUCUCCAUGUGGUCCGACCUCGGUCUUGCCGGGUUAUUUAUUACUUUGAUACUCCUAUACUUGAGAUACGAUAUCAACUCUUUGAUCGUGUCAGUGCAUAUUCAAAAUCAAGCAAAUAUUGAAUUUUUUUAAAGAUAAAAAAGAGAGGGGGAGAGAGAAAGAAGGAAAAGACAAGGUAUUGUUGGGUCUCACAAGAGUGACCCAUUUGAUAAAGGCUUGUGUGUGGGCUUGCAAAGAUAGGCUCGUACAUUUGAAAAUAUAAAGGCAGACAACACGUCGUCUGAUUUUGCUUAGAUUUCGGGUAUUAUAGUGGCUAGAAAAUCAUAAUUGAAUUUUUUUUACCUAAAAAUCUUUUUUCAACCCAUUUUGUACCUAAAAAAUCUUGAAAACACCAUAGAACCCUGACAAACCAAUCAGUGACUUCAAAAAACCAAAAAACGAUCAUAAAACCUGAAAUCAACUCAAAACCAAAAAUAUUUUCAAGCUCAGAUUUAUUUCUUAGAUAAUUUCAAGGUAAAAAAACACCUAAGGUGAAUUUUCAUCACCAAAUAGAACUAUUUAGUACCAAGAUCUAUUGUUUUGAUGGUUAGAAUAUGUAUAAAUAAUAAUUUUCUCUCUCUAUCACUGAAAUCUGGCAACUUUCUCUCUCAUUUUAAUUAAUCUAGAAACUAAUAAAUAAAAAAAAUAAAAUUUUACACCAAAAUUGAUUUAAAAAAAAACGUAAAAAGUUAUAGGGUCCCAAUUAUUAUAAUUCAUAAAGAAUAAGGACUAAGUUGAAUAUUUCAUAAAAAUUUCAAAAACACCACCCAUCUCCUCCUCGUGUUUCACUUUAAAUCAUUUUUUUAAUUUUUUUUUCUUAACAAUUUUAGCUAAAUUAAUUUUAAAUUAGGUCCUUAAAGGGAAGAAUUAAAAAAAAAUGAAAACAAAAAAAAAUUCUUAGACACAGUAAAUUCGGUGCCACUUUAAUCAAUUGUUUUUUAAUUUUGUCUUUUCUAAACAUUUUUAGCUAAAUUAGCUUUAAAUUAGGUUGUUAAAGGGCAGAAUUAAAAAAAAAAAAAACACUUGGGCACAGUAAAUCCGGUUUACUUAAUUAAUAAGUAAAGGUCGUCACAUAUUCAAACCUUUGGGGAGUUUAGCGCUAAAACAUGAUAUUGAUAUUCAGAAUUCCUUCUUUUAAUUAAGAGUCCAAAAAGCUCUGUCUAUUGUCUAUCCAGAAAAGAAAAGGAGUGAAAACAACAACUGUAAAGUCUCUUUAUUACUGUUUAGCGUCUCUUCAUUCCUUCGUAUUCAAGCCAAGUACCAAAUUCUUACUUGUAUAUGUAACUAUGGUUUGCAAAAGCUGGCCAUGCAAGCUUUUCACUAUCCGUUUUCAGAUUUUUUUUAGAGAUAUCCACUUUCACUUUUCGUCUUACAGAACAGUUUCUUCAGGGUUCAUCGAGAGAAACUAGUUUCCACUGCUGAGGAAAACAUACAAUGCUUAAGCAAUUCCCUGAAGAAGUCUUAAAUUUGUGGAACAAUUGGGAGAUUCGAGGAAUGGUUUUGCUUAGUCUCUUACUACAAACCAUCCUCAUCGUAUUUGGUUCUCGACGUAAGACCAUUGCCAGAAACUGGAUCAGGAUUCUCGUUUGGUCUGCAUACCUAUCAGCAGACAUGGUGGCAACUGUUGCCCUGGGUAAUCUAGCCAAGAGCCAAGGAGAUUCAUCAGGUGACGGUUCUAAAAAAGCAAACAAUUCCAUCCAGGCAUUUUGGGCACCUUUUCUACUCCUGCACCUUGGAGGCCCGGACACAAUCACUGCAUACUCGAUUGAAGAUAACGAGUUGUGGUUAAGGCACUUACUUGGUCUUGUAGUCCAAGUCGGAGUGGCUUUCUAUGUCUUCUCAAAGUCUUGGCCUAGCGGUAUCCUCGCAUUCAUAGCGAUUCCACUGUUCAUUGUUGGCAUUGUAAAGUACGCAGAGAGGACUUGGGUGCUCUGGUCUUCAUGCUCCAAGAGUUUGAAAAACUCU